GCCUUCAUGGUGUAAAGGCAGCCCACUCGGCACGCAUUCGAGAGGUCUAGGUUCGAGUCCUGGUGGGGGCA
rnacentral:tRNA from 1 species